rnacentral:rRNA from 1 species
ACUUUCGAUGGUAGGAUAGAGGCCUACCAUGGUGGUAACGGGUAACGGGGUGUUAGGGCACGACACCGGAGAGGGAGCCUGAGAAACGGCUACCACAUCCAAGGAUGGCAGCAGGCGCGCAAAUUACCCAAUCCCGACACGGGGAGGUAGGGACAAUAAAUAACAAUACGGGGUUCUUUCGGAUCUCGUAAUUGGAAUGAGUACAAUUUAAAUCUCUUAACGAGGAACAAUUGGAGGGCAAGUCUGGUGCCAGCAGCCGCGGUAAUUCCAGCUCCAAUAGCGUAUAUUAAAGUUGUUGCAGUUAAAAAGCUCGUAGUUGAAUUUCGGGGUUAGUAGGCUGGUCAUGCCUCUGGUAUGUACUGGUCUCACUGAUUCCUCCUUCCUGAUGAACCGUAAUGCCAUUAAUUUGGUGUUGCGGGGAAUUUGGACUGUUACUUUGAAAAAAUUAGAGUGUUUAAAGCAAGCUAACGCUUGAAUACAUUAGCAUGGAAUAAUGAAAUAGGACGUUCGAUCCUAUUUUGUUGAUUUCUAGGAUUGACGUAAUGAUUAAUAGGGAUAGUUGGGGGCAUUAGUAUUCAAUUGUCAGAGGUGAAAUUCUUGGAUUUAUUGAAGACUAACUACUGCGAAAGCAUUUGCCAAGGAUGUUUUCAUUAAUCAAGAACGAAAGUUAGGGGAUCGAAGACGAUCAGAUACCGUCGUAGUCUUAACCACAAACUAUGCCGACUAGGGAUCGGAUGAUGCUAAUUUUUUAAUGACUCAUUCGGCGCCUUACGGGAAACCAAAGUUUUGGGUUC